CGUGACUGGGCAUGCGCUCGAGUUACCUGUCCAGCGCGGCCUUGCAAUGAAGCGUGGUUUACUACUCCCAACACGCACCAGCCACAGGCCUCCGAUUGGCACCCCCAUGGGCUUCUGGGAGUUGUAGUUUUUCAGAGCCUUCGCUUCCUUGUCCUGAAAUGACCUAUCGCCCACUUCUCACCGCUCCUGGCCUGAGGGGCUUCGCGGCCUCCCGGGCGAUUGGCCGAGUCACGGCUGGGUCUGGCCUCUAAGGCAGGGAACUGAAGGGCAGCCAUCGCGGAGCAGACAGUCGCUACGGCCCUGCCACUGCGCAUAAUAGUGGAGCUCCAGGAGCGGGGAAAGAAGAAAAGCUGUCAUGCAAGCAUCCUUGAUGGAGGGUCAAUUUCUUUGUCAAGUCUCGAGUGGAUGACUGGAUUUUUACACAUAUUUGACAAUACAGUCCAAACACAAUGGAAAUCAACUACAAAGUGAAAUCGCACGUCUCACAUGCAAUUAUGAGAUUGAUGAAAGAAGGCCAAUGAGCUUAGUCCACAGUGAAAGAGGGGAAAAGACAUUGACAUUGAAGAGAUGCAGCUCCACAUGAUGAAAUGACACCUGUAUGAAGUUUUUCAUUGUUGCAUUAUUUGUUCAGCAAAAGGCACCUGGUUAAAUAAACGAUGGUAUGAUAAGCAGCGGGAAAAACAAAUAAGGAAGAUCUCUAUGUGCUAAUAUGAAAAGAGCUUUAGGAUGUAUUGGGGAUGCUGUUUAAAUUCAUCCAAGUUCAGACUUUCCUGGUGGCGCAGUGGUUAAGAAUCCGCCUGCCAAUGCAGGGAACACGGGUUCAAGCCCUGGUCCGGGUAGAUCCCACAUGCCGCGGAGCAACUAAGCCCGUGCGCCACAACUACUGAGCCUGCGCUCCAGAGCCCGUGAGCCACAACUACUGAGACCGUGAGCCACAACUACUGAAGCCCGUGUGCCUAGAGCCCAUGCUCUGCAACAAGAGAAGCCACUGCAAUGAGAAGCCCGCGCACCGCAACGAGAAGCCCACGCACCGCAACAAGGAGUAGCCCCCCGCUCGCUGCAAGUAGAGAAAGCCCACGCACAGCAAUGAAGACCCAACACAGCCAAAAAUAUAUAAGUAAAUUAAUUAAUUUUAAAAGAAAGAGCAAAGGAACUUAAAAAAAAUUCAUCCAAGUCCACAUUUACCCAUAUACUAUCCCUUUUCCACAGAAUAUUGAAUAGCAUAUUUGAAGAGCAUUUCUUUACUUCUGUCUGGUACAUCUACUGCCCCACCACAAAAUUCACAUACGAUUCCAUCUGCCACCUUAUUCCAUCAAAGCUGUGGCUUCGACUCCUGCCACUUUCCUACAUGCUCAGCUCUGAGCUCCUGCACAUAAACUAGGACAAAAAAUUUGCUCCAUUAUUCUGCACACUGUUGCUCACACCCAUCUAGUCUGUCCUCUGUUGAAGACCCUUUACUUUUUGCCCAGUUCUUGCUUUCCAUCGACCUCCUUGAACUUGACUAUCAAACUGUUUCUUGCUUCCCACAUCUGACCUCACCCAGGACUUCCUUCACCUUUGCUCUGUGUCCCAUGGCUCCAGGGGGAAACCUAUCUUGAUGCAUUUAAUGCUUUAGACUGAACUACUCAUUCCCUUUGCAAAUGCUAUUUCUUCUGCCUAGAACACUCUCCUUGUCAUUGUUUUCCUGGAGAAUAUAAGUAUAUGUAACCUCCUACCCCAACCAUAUUACUGCCCAUUUUGAGCUAACUCUACCUUGAAAUUACUUCCAGUGGUUACCACACUACAUAAAAAUUAUUUGUUUAUAUGUCUGCUUCUCCACUGUACUUGGUUUUCUUGACAUCAGGACCUUUGUCAUUUCCGAUCCCCAAUUUCUUGCGUAGUGCUUAGAACAUAAUAGGCCUUCAUUCAUUUACUCAUUCUUUUUUUUUUUUCACUAUUUUUAAAAAUUAAUUAAUUAAUUUGACUGCGCCAGGUCUUAGUUGCAGCAGGCAGGCUCCUUAGUUGUGGCAUGCAAACUCAUAGUUGAAGCAUGCAUGUGGGGUCUAGUUCCCUGACCAGGGAUGGAAGCCGGGUCCCCUGUAUCAGGAGGGCGGAGUCCUAACAACUGCUCCAUGGGGAAGUCCCCAUUUACUCAUUCUUAAGGCAAAUAUUAAUUGAGUUGAGGACCUAUUGUGUUCCUCCUCUCACGGAGCAUAGAGCAAAGUGGAAGCAGCAAGAGCUGUUUGUUAUGUAAAUCAAAUUGCAUUACAACUUGACUUGCUCACCUUUCUUUUCAUUUUGUGAUCAAUCACUGCUCUUCAAAACAGCCCUGAUGGAGUCUUAAUUUGAAUUCUGUGGGUUUUGAUUCCUGUGUUUGCUUUGACUCUUCCCUUUCUUUAAAAAAAAUUCCAAAUGGUCAGUGACAGGCAUUUUCCUGUGUACCUGAGGACAGUGAUUCAGUCAUUUUAUCUCAACUUUUGCUUUUUAGCUCUGAAAAACCUAUUUGGUCAUAAUCAUCCAGGAUUUCUUUUUAAAUUACUUUUAAAAAAUUGAAGUAAAUUACGAUUCAGGCAUAUAGUCAUUUUUCCUGUGAAUUUGGUUUUUAUGUUUUUUAAAAAAGUUGCUCUUGGCAGAGCUGGUUUAGGGGGCAGUCACUGUGUUGUGGUUUUGGGGGGAAAGGGCCUGUAGGUUCAAGCACAGUUCAAUGCGCCUAGCCACAGCCUCCUCUCUCUUCCCCAGCCUUCAAUUUUACUAUUACAGCUACCCUGGAUUUAGUCCAUUAAGACAGCCACUGUGAAAUGCCUGGUUCCUCUGAUGGGAAAGAAACUGGCCAAGUCUGUUUAGACUCUGAUGACAAUACCAAGAAUUGUUUUAUCAUAGUUUCUAAUCAGGAGGCAAAAGGGGUUGUCUGGGCCUGAGGGAGGGGUGAGUGGAGAGGGGUAAUUGUAAAUGGGCCUGAGGGCGAUGGAAACAAUUGAAGUUGUUCAAUUAUUGGAGUGAUGGAAACAAUUGAAAACUGACUUAUGGUUAUGGUUGCACAACUUGGUAAUUUACAAAAAAAAAAAAUUGAAUUUUACACUUGAAAUGGGUGAAUUAUAUGACAUAAAAUAUGCAUCAAUAAAGAUAUAUUAAAAAGCAAGAGGUACAGCCAUGUAUUUAAUAUGCUACCAUUUAA